rnacentral:misc_RNA from 4 species
UUUGGUUUGUUACGUGUGGUUGGCUGCGGCGUUUGCAACAACUUCCAUGCUCUCAGACCUCUUCAGUUGUGCGGCAAGGCUUGUAUCGCCUUGAGCGUAUCGUGGGUUUUCUGUGUUGGCUACCUAAUCGACGGUAUCGUUUGGAUUGAUCAAAGUGUGAUUUCGUCUUCCGUCGCGUUUGCGGCGUGAGGUGAACCUUGACGCGGUCUCUUUGAUCCAUCUCGUCGAAGCAUAUGCUUUGACGUUGUGGCACAUUGGGCAUUGCUUGGUCUCUUGUGUACGGAACACGUAGCGGGCAUGGAUCUAACGAUUCUUGUUUGCCCUCAUAUUAGCGUAACGCUUCUCAAACACGACUUGCAUCGCGUUUUAG